rnacentral:tRNA from 1 species
GGGAGAGUGGCCGAGUGGUCAAGAGCGACAGACUAUAAAUCUGUUGAAGGUUUUCUACGUAGGUCCGAAUCCUACCUCUCUCA